rnacentral:ncRNA from 1 species
CGCCAUUUAAAGUGGUACGUGAGCUGGGUUUAAAACGUCGUGAGACAGUUUGGUCCCUAUCUGCCGUGGGUGUAGGAAUGUUGAGAGGAGCUGACCCUAGUACGAGAGGACCGGGUUGGACGAAUCUCUGGUGGACCUGUUGUGGCGCCAGCCGCAUUGCAGGGUAGCUAUAUUCGGACGGGAUAACUGCUGAAAGCAUCUAAGCAGGAAGCCUCCCUCAAAACGAGCAUUCCCUUGAGAGCCGUGGAAGACCACCACGUUGAUAGGCCGGAUGUGGAAGCGCAGCGAUGUGUGAAGCUGACCGGUACUAAUAGCUCGAUUGGCUUGAUCGU